CAUAGACAAAGCUAUAUUAAAAUUGUCAAUCUAGAGCACCAGUGAAAGGGAUUUCGAAAUGGGAGAAGUUAGGAGCAAUUUAUAUAAGGACGGUAUUUGGUAUCAUGAUAAGUUACCAAUACUACCUAAGUCAUUGUUUAGAGAUGCGGCAAGAUUGACACAUGGGCAGAGCCAUGUGUCAACAGGGGGGAUAGUAGAGCAGGUUCGGAAACACUUUGUGGCCUAUUGGAUAACGAACUACUUAAAAAAAAACAUUUUUUAUAAUAGAUAAGUAUAUUAAAUGGGAAGAAGCGGUCCCAACUUACUGGGUGGACCCGAUUAGGGUAGUUGGUUUACUAGGAUCUAUCUCUUUAAAUAAUGGAUUACAUUUUAGCUGAUGAGGUAAACCAUAUAGAAUGCCAGAGUUAGGGAGGCCAGAACAGGUAGACAUAGAAGUUGAAGAUAUACUAACAGAACACAUGGUUAACCAAACCUGUAUGUCCGAGACUUUGUGUCCAACAGGUGAAUUACAGGAGAAGAUGAUUCACUCAAUCCAACCAGGAGACUGGGUGUGGAUCCAGUCCCUGAGGAGAAAAGAACUGGAAGCAGCCAUGGUGGGAGGGCCCAUACCAAAUGUUCCUGGUAAUAGCUUUCACGUCAAAUCCUGUCCUGCACUGGUCAAGCCUCUGAACACCUCAACUCAUGCCUCAUACCCUCAUUCAAUCACUGCUGUGAUCCCUUCCCAAAAUGGUGUUAGAAGAGAAUGACUCCUCAACCCAAGAGGCCCUGGAGCAGCUGUGAUCAGGUUAGAAGAGAAUGACUCCUCAACCCAAGAGGCCCUGGAGCAGCUGUGAUCAGGUUAGAAGAGAAUGACUCCUCAACCCAAGAG
rnacentral:lncRNA from 1 species